rnacentral:piRNA from 1 species
UAGGGACUUGGCUGAGGUGACAAAGG